rnacentral:rRNA from 1 species
CCUACGGGUGGCAGCAGUGAGGAAUAUUGGUCAAUGGGCGCAAGCCUGAUCCAGCCAAGUAGCGUGAAGGAUUGCUGCCCUACGGGUUGUAAACUUCUUUUAUAAAGGAAUAAAGUGAGGCACGUGUGCCUUUUUGUAUGUACUUUAUGAAUAAGGAUCGGCUAACUCCGUGUCAGCAGCCGCGGUAAUACGGAGGAUUCGAGCGUUAUCCGGAUUUGUUGGGUGUAAAGGUAGCGUAGAUGGGUUGUUAAGUCAGUUGUGAAAGGUUGCGGCUCAACCGUAAAAUUGCAAUUGAUACUGGCAGACUUGAGUACAGUUGAGGGAGGCGGAAUUCGUGGUGUAGCGGUGAAAUGCUUAGAUAUCAAGAAGAACUCCGAUUGCGAAGGCAGCCUACUAAACUGCCACUGACAUUGAUGCUCGAAAGUGUGGGUAUCAAACAGGAUUAGAUACCCCGGUAGUC